rnacentral:rRNA from 1 species
AUUGAACGCUGGCGGCAGGCUUAACACAUGUAAGUCGAACGAGUGGCGGACGGGUGAGUAAUGUUUGGGAAUCUAGCUUAUGGAGGGGGAUAACUACGGGAACCUGUAGCUAAUACCGCGUACCAUAGGCUUAGCCCAGGUGGGAUUAGGUAGUUGGUGAGGUAAAGGCUCACCAAGUCGACGAUCUCUAGCUGGUCUGAGAGGAUGACCAGCCACACUGGAACUGAGACACGGUCCAGACUCCUACGGGAGGCAGCAGUGGGGAAUAUUGCGCAAUGGGGGCAACCUGACGCAGCCAUGCCGCGUGAAUGAAGAAGGCCUUCGGGUUGUAAAGUUCUUUCGGUAGCGAGGCGUUAACUACAGAAGAAGCACCGGCUAACUCCGUGCCAGCAGCCGCGGUAAUAC